ACUUAAAACUGCUCAACGCGAAAGUAGACAGCAACGCUGGUGAGGCGAGGACUAGCGCUGACAUCCAACUGAAAUUUAUCACAACUCUCAAAUAUAUUGCCUACACCCAAGAUUAAAACAACAUGCUUAUGCUAAAAAAAAAAAGAGGUCAAGCAUGAAAGCACAGUGAGACCGUAAAAAAACAACAAAGGCGGUACAGCACAUGCUAAUGAAUCCAGAUAAGCCAGUUCUUUAUCAGAUAAGAAUAAUGAAGGUUGCUGGUGCCAUCAUGAGGGUGAGCCACAAGAACUCGUGUUUUCUCGAACAGAGGCUGGCAACCGUAUUUGUAAUAAUGAGAAGCCAUAAAAACUUCUCUAUCCAUAACGUUGCUACCCAUAUUUUUUACUUUUUGCCACUGUAAUCAUAUGCUUAGGAAGCUGCCUGUUUGACCAAAGCACGGAAUAAGCAAUCUCAGUUAUGUGUUCGAACUAGAGCCGUAGAAGGACCUUCGAGCCAUUGCCAAGUUAUGCACUGUAAAAAGUUUGUUGACUGCGUAAUAGGCGUCGUUUACAGCGUGUCUUUGUCCUGUGAACACAGCUACAUUGGUCAAAGAGGUAGAUGCCUAAAUAUACCAUUACAGAAACAUUUUCAAAAAGUAAAAAACGUGGAUAGAAAUGGUUUUUUGGCUUCUCAUUGUUCAGAAUGUAGUUGCCAGUCUCUGUUUAAGAAAACAAGCUUUUGCAGCUCACCUUCAUGAUGGCAUUGAUGUUGUAAGAAUAGCUAAAGGAAGCUGUGUCAGUAAACCUUCAAUAUUCCUAUCUGAUAAAGAACUCGCUUACCUGGAUUCAUCGUCAUGCGGUAUUCUGCCUUAGUUGUUUUUUUAUAUUUACACUGCACUAUCAUCCUUCACUUCAUGUUAUUUGUUUCUAGCAUAAGCAUGUUGUUCUUAUCUUGGGUGUAGGCUAUAUAUUGUGUUGUGUUAAAUUUCAGUUAGAAGUCUGCGCUUGUCCUCGUGUCACCUGUGUUGCUUAUCAACUGUCAUGCUGAGCAGUUUUAAGUCUGCACAUGGAUGCAUUUUAUACAUGUUAAAAUGGACAGCACGAAAAAACGAGAACACAAGAAGAAAUACACACCACAGCACCAUCUUGCAACCAACUUUAUAAGAAAGCUCACCAUUAGAAGCAAACCAGAAGUCUCAAACUCGUCUGAGCUAGCGGGCCGCAGUUACAAAAUUUAGUCCUGCAAAGGCCGGGCCAGUGCAGACAUUCAUUAACACAGACAAUAAACACUGCUCUUCAUAAUAACCAAUUAGUGGCAGUUAUUUUUCUUGAUUUAAAAAAGGCUUUCCACACUGUCGAUCAUGGCAUCUCACUAAAUAAGUUGUGCUUAUGGGUUUUGCAACAGUGAACUUGAUUUUUUUCCCAGUUAUUUUGGUAAUCGAAAUCAAAUCGUACAUAUAACAUAAUGUCAUGCCCUCAGCAUCUUAGUACAAGAGUACCGCAGGGUUCAGUACUUGGUCCCCUGUUUUUCACAGUUUAUAAAAAUGACUUGUCCCAAACUUUACAAUUCGCUGAUAUAUCAAUGUACGCUGAUGACACCGCUUUGAUAAUUGCAGGUGACAACAUGAAGGAACUAGAGGAAGAAGCCCAAAUCGAGCUUGCUAUUGUUUCCGAAUGGACGCGCUCGUGCCUCUCGCCGUCGGCGCACCGUGACGGCUACCUCGACUGCCAUGCCGUGCGCCUCUCAUCGGCGGGGCCUUCGCCGCCUCGUCACCGACGUGCAUUGUGCCCCUGGCUGAAUCGUGGACCCGUCCGUGAACUCCUGUGACCUGCUCCCCAAUCUUUCCUGUCCUCUCCUCUCUUCGUCGCGCCUGUCGACUUCUGAUCACUACCUUUCCUAUUUUUUUCUGCUUUUCUUUUAUUCCCACCUUACCCCUACCCCUACAGGGCGCUUAGCCGUGUCGCCAAUGGGCAGACAGAAAUUAGCGCCCUUUUCCUUUCUCCCCCCAGAACAACUAGUAGUAGUAGCAAGCCUUUUCCCAUAUCUCAUAUAUGGGUCAUCUCUGAAGGAGAUUUGUCAUCAAGAUUCGAGAAAGAUGACGAUAUCGACUUUCAGAAUGGCUAAAACUACAAAAUAAAAAGCUUUUACUCCA